GCUUAGGGCCAUACCACCCUGAUCACACCCGAUCUCCUCUGAUCUCGGAAGCUUAGCAGGGUCAGGCCUGGUUACUACUUGGUUGGGAGACCGCCUGGAAUACCUGGCACUUGUC
rnacentral:rRNA from 1 species